GCAUUUAGAUCUUUCCCAUUCCUUUCUGUUUCAUGCUGGUGUGGGGACAGAUGGUGCUACAGUACCAGCAGAGAAAAUCCAGACAGAUCAUACCCAUUUGUCUUCAGGCCUAUCUUUACUUCUGCCACAUUU
ensembl:snoRNA